UACCAGCACCCCGAGUGGUCGGGACGUUUAUUGGGCCUAAAGCAUCCGUAGCCGGUUCUACAAGUCUUCCGUUAAAUCCACCUGCUCAACAGAUGGGCUGCGGAAGAUACUAUAGGGCUAGGAGGCGGGAGAGGCAAGCGGUACUCAGUGGGUAGGGGUAAAAUCCUCUGAUCCAUUGAAGACCACCAGUGGCGAAGGCGGCUUGCCAGAACGCGCUCGACGGUGAGGGAUGAAAGCUGGGGGAGCAAACCGG
rnacentral:rRNA from 1 species